rnacentral:rRNA from 1 species
AUUGAACGCUGGCGGAAGGCCUAACACAUGCAAGUCGAGCGAGCGGCGGACGGGGGAGUAAUGUCUGGGAAACUGCCUGAUGGAGGGGGAUAACUACUGGACACGGUAGCUAAUACCGCAUACCAUCAGAUGUGCCCAGAUGGGAUUAAAGGGGAGGUGGGGUAACGGCUCACCUAGGCGACGAUCCAUAUCUGGUCUGAGAGGAUGACCAGCCACACUGGAAUUGAGACACGGUCCAGACUCCUACGGGAGGCAGCAGUGUGAAAUAUUGCACAAUGGGCGCAAGCCUGAUGCGGCCAUGCCGCGUGUGUGAAGAAGGCCUUCGGGUUGUAAAGCACUUUCAGCGGGGAGGCGUUACCCGCAGAAGAAGCACCGGCUAACUCCGUGCCAGCAGCCGCGGUAAUUC